CUUAGUGGAUAUUUAAUUUGUUAUUUACUCUGUGGUUGUGUUAAUGGUAUUGAAAAUUUUACGUUUUCUCUUAGUUUCUGUCUAAGAGAAAACAAAAAUUUACAACUCAUGUUUUACAAAUUUAUCUGAAAUGAUUUAGUUACACGAGAUAGUUUGUAUAUAUUUAUUAUUCAAAAAUUAAAUUCCUGAUCAUAGUUUGAAAUUUUAUUUUCUUCAUUAUGAGUGCAGAAACACCUGAUCAGUUUGACCAAUUUGAUGAUGAAGACGGAGAUCAACAGUUGGGAGCAACAGCUUCUGGUAGGAAAAGAUUGUUCAGCAAAGAGCUUCGUUGCAUGAUGUAUGGUUUUGGUGAUGACCAGAAUCCGUAUACUGAAAGUGUUGAUUUCUUAGAAGACCUUGUCAUAGAGUUUAUAACUGAGACUACCCACAGAGCUAUGGAAGUUGGUAGACCCGGCAGAGUUCAAGUUGAAGAUAUCAUAUUUUUAGUUCGCAAAGAUCAUAGAAAAUAUGCUAGAGUCAAGGACCUAUUGACAAUGAAUGAAGAGCUGAAAAAAGCUAGAAAAGCUUUUGAUGAAGUCAAGUAUGUUGAAGACCAACAAUAAGUUUGGUGGUCAAACAACAUCAUGCUCUCAGACUGAUAAUGAAAAUGUGGAUACUAAAGGUCUAUGAGAUUGAUUUUGUGAAGGUCUAUGAUUUUUGCUUGACAAUGUAAUACAAAUACUACUUGCUUAGAAAAUACAUUCCUAAAUAACCUUCAAA